GUUUCGAUUUGCUGCGGACUGAUAAAGUGGAUAUGGGCAUCAAUGCCUCCGGCGGUAACAAUCAUGCCUUCACCAGCUAACACCUCUGUGCUAGCCCCGAUGACCAUAUCGACUCCCUCCAUUAAUAAGGGAUUACCCGCUUUGCCAAUCCCAACGAUUCGGCCAUCACGAAUGCCGAUAUCCGCUUUGUAGAUUCCGCAAUAAUCCACAAUGAUGGCAUUGGUAAUCACUGCAUCCAGUGCUCCGUCAGCUCGGGUUGCCAGCGGAUGCUGCCCCAUUCCAUCCCG
rnacentral:sRNA from 1 species